rnacentral:rRNA from 1 species
CCAGCUCCAAUAGCGUAUAUUAAAGUUGUUGCAGUUAAAAAGCUCGUAGUUGGAUUUCGGAAGGUCUUUAGUGGUCCGCCCCUUCGGGGAGCGGGUCACUGGCCUCCUAUGUUCCUAACGGUCCUCAUCCGCGAGGGUGGGGAAUCAACCGCUAGGAUCGUUUACUUUGAGGAAAUUAGAGUGUUCAAAGCAGGCGUAACUCGCCUCCGAAUACGUUAGCAUGGGAUAAUGGAAUACGACUUCGGUCUUGUUUCGUUGGUUUCGCUUGGCUGAAGUAAUGAUUGAUAGGGACAGUUGGGGGCAUUAGUAUUUAGUUGUCAGAGGUGAAAUUCUUGGAUUUAUGGAAGACGAACUACUGCGAAAGCAUUUACCAAGGAUGUUUUCAUUAAUCAAGAACGAAAGUUAGGGGAUCGAAGAUGAUUAGAUACCGUCGUAGUCUCUACCGUAAACUAUGCCGACCAGGGAUCCGGAGAGUUUGCAUGGAUGACUCCCCGGGCACCUUGUGAGAAAUCAUAAGUGUUUGGGUUUUGGGGGGAGUAUGGUCGCAAGGCUGAAACUUAAAGGAAUUGACGGAAGGGCACCACCAGGAGUGGAACCUGCGGCUUAAUUCGACUCAAC